rnacentral:rRNA from 1 species
UACGGAGGGUGCGAGCGUUGUCCGGAAUCAUUGGGCGUAAAGGGCGCGCAGGCGGCUCAUUUUGUCAGGCGUGAAAGCCCCGGGCUUAACCUGGGAACUGCGUUUGAUACGGAUGGGCUAGAGUUCGGGAGAGGAGAGUGGAAUUCCCAGUGUAGAGGUGAAAUUCGUAGAUAUUGGGAAGAACACCGGUGGCGAAGGCGGCUCUCUGGACCGAUACUGACGCUGAGGCACGAAAGCGUGGGGAGCAAACAGG